rnacentral:rRNA from 1 species
AUACGGAGGGUGCGAGCGUUAAUCGGAAUUACUGGGCGUAAAGCGUGCGUAGGCGGUUAUUUAAGUCAGAUGUGGAAUCCCCGGGCUCAACCUGGGACCUGCAUCCGAUACUGGCAGGCUAGAGUCUGGUAGAGGGGGGUAGAAUUCCUGGUGUAGCGGUGAAAUGCGUAGAUAUCAGGAGGAAUACCAGUGGCGAAGGCGGCCCCCUGGACUGAGACUGACGCUGAGGUGCGAAAGCGUGGGGAGCAAACAGGAUUAGAUACCCUUGUAGUCC